GGGCAGCGAUGAAGAAAGCUUGCUUUCUUCAGGCGGCGACCGGCGCACGGGUGAGUAACGCGUAUCGAACCUGCCUCAUACUCAGGAAUAGCCUUGCGAAAGUAAGAUUAAUGCCCGAUGUUAUUAGAGUAUCACAUGAUGCUUUAAUUAAAGAUUUAUCGGUAUGAGAUGGCGAUGCGUCCCAUUAGUUUGUUGGCGGGGUAACGGCCCACCAAGACAUCGAUGGGUAGGGGUUCUGAGAGGAAGGUCCCCCACAUUGGAACUGAGACACGGUCCAAACUCCUACGGGAGGCAGCAGUGAGGAAUAUUGGUCAAUGGACGCAAGUCUGAACCAGCCAAGUAGCGUGCAGGAAGACGGCCCUCUGGGUUGUAAACUGCUUUUAGUUGGGAAUAAAGUGCACCACGUGUGGUGUUUUGUAUGUACCAUCAGAAAAAGGACCGGCUAAUUCCGUGCCAGCAGCCGCGGUAAUACGGAAGGUCCAGGCGUUAUCCGGAUUUAUUGGGUUUAAAGGGAGCGCAGGCGGACCUUUAAGUCAGCUGUGAAAUACGGCGGCUCAACCGUCGAACUGCAGUUGAUACUGGAGGUCUUGAGUGCACACAGGGAUACUGGAAUUCAUGGUGUAGCGGUGAAAUGCUCAGAUAUCAUGAAGAACUCCGAUCGCGAAGGCAGG
rnacentral:rRNA from 1 species